rnacentral:rRNA from 1 species
AUUGAACGCUGGCGGAAGGCCUAACACAUGCAAGUCGAACGAGUGGCGGACGGGUGAGUAAUGUCUGGGAAACUGCCUGAUGGAGGGGGAUAACUACUGGAAACGGUAGCUAAUACCGCAUACCAUCGGAUGUGCCCAGAUGGGAUUAGCUAGUCGGGGGGGUAAAGGCGCACCUAGGCGAAGAUCCCUAGCUGGUCUGAGAGGAGGACCAGCCACAAUGGAACUGAUACACGGUCAAGACGCCGACGGGAGGCAGCGGUGGGGAAUAUUGCACAAUGGGCGCAAGCCUGAUGCAGCCAUGCCGCGUGUAUGAAGAAGGCCUUCGGGUUGUAAAGUACUUUCAGCUGGGAGGCGUUACCCGCAGAAGAAGCACCGGCUAACUCCGUGCCAGCAGCCGCGGUAAUUC